AAUAGAAUAAAUAACUACUGUAAGCAGCUCAGCUGAAAGAAGAAAAGGUUUAUUCACAAUGUGAAUUAGCACACACACACACACACAGAGUGUAACAACUCGGUGUGUAGUUGGGUGUAGGCCAUGACGCGUGCUGAUGGUUAACAUGUUGCAUCACAGCGUGAUUUUCUGAAAUAGCAGUGGGUUGCUUAGAGCUGAUGACGCCAAUUGGACCUAUGAAUAACACACACACACAGAAAGGAGUCCACCUUGUGCGUCACACUGAUUAUAAAUGCCACCAGCCUCUCUCCUUCACAUUCAUGUCUUUCCUCUCUCCCUUUUCCCACUUCAGUCAGUGCUGCUGAGCUGUCAUCUGCUCUCCUGUUGUAGGAUGAAAAUUAUUAUUGAAAAAAUGUCACCUCUUUUUCUGCAAUUAUGAGCAUCUACAUUAAUUAAAGUACAUAAAAAUAAUAAUCAUAUUAGUAAGUGUUAUCAUUGGGACAAACUCAAUGUCCAAACCUCCUUAUGUCCAACAUUUUUGUACAUGGGAGAAAACAUUAUCUGCCUGUUUAUUUCACUCCAGUUGAUGUUUGUGCUUCUGUUCUUUCCUGUAACAUAAUCUGAAGACGAAUACCUUUAAUCAAUUUCCUUUCAUGAAGUACAAAUGAUUUCCUGCAACCUUGCAGCUCAGUCCACAAAUCCGACAAAACAAUGUCCCAAGCUGUGUCCCAAUUCUUCAUUCCUACUAAUUCUAUAUUGUUAUUUUACUAUUUCAAGAUAAAGAAAAAAAAAGUUUAAUACUUUUUGGGGGGUUUUCAAUUUUUUUUUCACCAUCCACGAUUAAAUUUAUUUGCAGUGUUCCUUUGUGCAUUGCAUGGUGGAACAAUAGUGUACUUGAACUGCAUUAAAAUUAGAAAAGUCUGCAUAUCAUCUUUGAGUAUACUUAAUAUAUAUAUGUGUGUGUAUAUAUAGUGUAUUCAAAGAUCUUUACUUCUACUUCUCAGAUGGGCAGAUAUAUGUUCUGAAUAAGUGCUAAAGAUUAAACAGCAAUGAUUAAAAAGAAUUGAAUAACUAGCAAACAACAUCCCAGUUGUUUGUAAGAUCAACCCCUUCCUCUUUCAAAUGGCAUCAAUUAUGAUAAGAGUGAACAAGACUUAAACUAAGUGAAUUCAACUUAGUGAAUUUAGGCUUGAAAUUAUGUUUUUAUUGUUUUAAUUUCAACCUUACUCCAUAUUCUGUUAUCUUGGCCAUUAAAAUAGUAAUAACAACUAUUUAUGGGGCACUGUUCAGUCCUUUAAAAGACAACAAAAUAUAGAGAAAAUCCACGACCAAAAUAAUAUUUGACGAAGCAGCGAGACAGAACUUGAGUUUACAGGAUGAUUCCUCCAUUUUCUGCCACAUGUGCUUCAGUUUAGCAGUCGUAGAGUAUCUGAACUUAGUAAGGAGGAACACUUGAUGCCACAGAGUUUUAUAGUUAGCUCACCCACAUUAAAGCCUGUCAGUGCAGUGACUCCUCCAUGGUUACAUGUAGCAGAAUAGGAAUAAGGACAGCAACAGGAUAAUUGUUAAGAACUAUUUGUCUCUGCUUCUCUGCUGGUUUUCUCAACUUUUUCUGUAACCUGGUGUCACCUCACAAGCCAUAAGAGAUGGGAGGGGAGAAAAAAUAGGAAUCAUUAUGUUUUUGUUAGCUUAGAAUGAACCUUUUUUAUCUAUAGACACUGUGGGUCACUAUGGUGUACGCCAUCUUGAACCGCCAUGUUUGUAUAGUAGUGAAUUUCCCCAGUGUGGGGAAGUAUAUCUUAUCUUACCUUAGUCCUGAAGGGACAAACAAAAAGCUGGCUCUAGAUGGGGCGUUCUUGGCCACCAUAGUUCCUCCUUCACAUCUGGAAGAUGAAGGUCAAGCGAGGUAGUUUCAAUCUAGAACUACACAGCUAGAUGUCACUAAAUCCUACAAACUGGAUUUCCCCUGAAGCAGCUUUAAGGUGGUGGUGAGGGUUUGCUCUAUCUGAUACCACACUGUAUAUAUUCAGUAUCAUCUUGUGUCAGCUUUUUCUUGAAGCUAAAGGAUCUUUAAUUAAAUAUUCAAACCAAAGACUCCAUGUAUAUACCUAUUUUAACCAUAAAUUCAGGAUUAUUCUCAGUGGGGAUGUCCCAGAAAUCUCAUAACAGCCUCACAAGACCAGUGCACCGUCAAGAGUCGAGCCUCAUAAGAAUAGCUUAACUUGACCGCACACACUCACUCACACACACACACACACACACACACACACAGUGUGAGCCAGGCCUUGGCAGAGUUAUCACUCCUGUCACAGUCUCUCCAUGAGCCCUGGCUCUCAGUGUAACACCGGACAGUUUCAAGGUACAAACGUGCAGUUGUGUGUGUGUGCGCGCAGGUACAGUAUGUUCCUGGACGUGUGUUGUUACGUGAUGUGUGCACACUGUGUGUACUUGGAUUUGUGUGUGUGCUGGUGUGAGUUUAUUGAUGGUGUCCCUCUUUUUCUUAAUACUGGUGAAUGCAAUAAAUCUUCUGUAGGACAUUCACGCACGCGCGCACACACGUACUCAAGAAGACCAUCAAUUCAGCUGAUGUCUGUAAGAAAAGGGCAAGGGCGUGUUGGAUCAUAAACAGGUACUUUAUAGUCUCUCUCUCUCUCUCUCUCUCUCUCUCUCUCUGUAAUUUAAAUUGAUGCAGUCUCUACCUCCGCACAAACACUCAGGUUACCCGGAAUCACAGCAUUUGUUGCUCCAGCCACAACUCAACCAUUGUUGACACAGCCUGCAAGGCAUUGUGGGUAAUGUCACUCCUGUAAAGGCCCAGUCUGGAAGAUGAGAGGAGUGUGUUUAUUGUCAGGAUGAUAAAUCACAAGCAAAGACAUCCAGGCCAUCCACCGCUGAAGGUGAAAAUAAACCCGAAUUUAGUUACAGUUUAAAGAUAUAAUAUGUAAUAUGUAACAUUUCCAUAUCACAUUUUUCAACUUUGAACUUUUGAACUUUUUUCUGUUUGAUGUGUCUGAAACUUUCCGACUUUAUGCCAUGACUGUGUGUAAGUGAGAGAGGAGCUAGAUUUCAUGUGUACAACCUAGUGAAACAACAUUUAAGUCUUUGAGUACCGACUGUCUGAUUAUGUGUGCUCUUAUUCCCACCUCAAUUCACACGUCUUUGAUGAAACUCUGCCUUCGAGCGUGGUCCUUCAGUAUAAACAGUUUUGCCUUUACAUGUGUUUGGACACUUUGUAUGAACUACGUUGUGUGACGAAUGCUGGACCCUUAUAUUACUGCACUGAGACUGAACUCUAUAGUAAAUCUGCCUUAAAACCAAAACAAAAAAGAGAUAAAAGCGUCUUAAAAGCUCAGUAGAGGUGCAGAGUGGUUAAUAAUUCAAUGUGGGUUCAGCACUAUGAGCGACUCUUGACAUUACAAAGACAUCUGAAAAGUAACACAAAAACAAAAUCCACCCAAAAUGGUUAUAUUACUAACUCUUCAUGUGCCUCUUGACUAAAAAUAAAUAUCAUAGAAGAAGACAAAAUUCAUACCAUCCAUUACAUGAUGAUUAGCUCAGUAACCAUAUGUUAUUUACAGCUUUAAAUAGAGCAGAACCUUUUGAUAUCUUUCAAGAGAGUAGGGAGCGUGUUUUAGGUCGUCAUGUUGGACUGGCACCAUCCACCUCGCUGUGAUGAACAGUCUGGAUGAUGGGAAGCUGCCAACAUGGCCACCUGGAGGACACCCAGAUGGAGAGGAUCCUGAGAGACUCUACAGAUCACAGGUUCUGGCAGACACGGUCAUUAAAACGCUUUAGAUGAAGCCUGUAAACAAAUAUUCCGGCUCCAGGUAAUGUGUAACAGUGUUGUAUACUUUUUGGUUGAUUUAUUGUUAUUUUACACAGACCAAGGACUUUAGUAUUUUCGAAAUGAGAUGGCACAACACACUCACACUUGUAGGAGAAGCUUACUAUAUAUUUUUUUCUUUUCUGUAUUUCAGGAACAAGAAAUGGUACAAAAACAGCAAACUAGUAUAUCACAUGAUUUUGGAAUUUGGCAGAACAGUACUGCAGUUACUAGCUAUUUAAGUCCAAUUAGUCAACAUCACUAAAAGGGUAUUUCAGCAAAUUUUAUUCAGCUGCAUUUCCAAAUGAAAAAAAAAAAUCAAUACAAAAUUCCAUAAAAGAAAGCCUUUCUGCCUUGUCAGCCAAAAUCUAUUUAUAGAAAACAUUAGUCUUGAAGACCUUAAAGACCAUGAAGACAUAUGGCUAACAUGCAGGGCUGCAGGUGCAGGUGGUGGGGAGGAGACUGGCAUAGGGGAGACCUACGGGGAUGAUCCUCCAAACGAAACCGAGUCUGCACCAUCAGCAGAUCUUCCUCUAUGCUUCCUCUGCCUCCAGCUUUGGCUACUGUUAUAUGAGCAGAAUAUACAAAGUUCUGCUAAUGCUAGAUUAUACUGGUAUUUAGCAUCCUAGGCUUCAUAACCAGUGGUGAUGGUGAACACUGCAAAACAAUCUCCUUCUCAUGAAGUCCUUUUUGUUGAUAACUGAGUUCUUAAACCUGCAAUAACUCACUUUAUUGGUGACUGUGGUGGAAGAACGUUGUGAAAACAGCAUUUACAUAUCAUUGCUUUUUAGGUUGAUACAGAAAACUUGUUAGCAAACAGUAACUUGUUUACACAUCAACAGUUAUGGAGCAACAUUAUCAUUCAUUAGGCGUCAUGUUUUUUGUCUAUUCACUCCACUUUACCUCUGUUACCUCCAAAGGGGAAAUAGCUGGCUCGUUAGACACUAAAUGCUUCACUAUGUCUCUAACUGUGUUUCUUUAUUUUUUUUCUUUUUUAAUUGAGCUGAUGUAAGGACAGAAUAAUAGGAUGAUUAUAUAACGUAUUUGAUCCAGAAAUGUGGAUAUGUUGCGCUGUUCGGCAACAUACAAAAGAUACUUGACUACAUUUAGUUGAAAAGUUAAAAUUUUGCAGAUUGUUACCUUUAUUUUAAUGGCAUCUAAUAUUAUUUAAUAUAUAACUAGUUCUACAGGAUCUGUGGGCAUAUUUAUUGGGAAAAAUGCUUGAAAAGUGACAGUGAUGUCAGCUUAAAUACUCCCGCCUUCAACCUGGUUUCGCCUGCCUUUAAAAAUGGUCAGCAAAAAUGUGGGGUCAACUGACCGCAUUAAACCACAUGUAUAACUUAAAUUUAACUGCUCAUAUGAAGUUUCACUCAAACAAAUGGCAGCAGCUAAAUAACAAAUAUUAUCUCCACAGAGGGGGGUCACACUGUGGCUCUGCACCGGCUUCUAACCCCCACCACAAACAGGACGCGACGUUCCGGUAAACAACCAGCAAACAUACAAGAGUAAACAACUUAUCUGUGUCCACAUCUGGUACUUGUUAGACAUGGACCUGAUUCACACACACACAAAUGGGACAGAUAUACACAGAUACAGACAUACUGGUGAUUCACAAAUUACACCUGUUGUUCCUGUAAUCCAAACCAGAGCUGAAAUACAAAAAAAAGAAGAGACCAUCAGCAGUUUUUCAGGGAGGCCGCUGCCAGCUGCUACCUGGAAGUUCUUGGCUGGUUUGAAAUGUCCCCAUGACUCACGUGUUUUAUGGGCUCUAAGUUUCUUGAUGCCCUUCCAGGAAACAGAAGGAAAACAACAUUUCUCAUUUCUUCCAAAUGACCACAUCGCUGUCUGCAAUACCUCAGCCUGCCAACAGGGGUCAGUAGGGAGAAUAACUGAAAAUAUUCUCAGACCUUCUUCUGUGCAGAGGAAAAUGGAUCCGUGCAGAUUUUAAAGCGUUGGCGGAGACGCUGGAUCGCUCAGGCAGGGGACAGACUAAACCACUUUCAGGCCAAAUUGACCCUUUGUCAAGUCUCGGCUCUCCUCCGCACUCCUUGGUUACGGUUGCUAAGAAGAACAAACAAUAGCCUCAGAGAGUCUGUUUCCAUUGAAAAACACCUGUUGAUUUAAUUGACUCGUAUUUCUAUUCAACCGCUUUCAGCCAGUCUUUCUGUGGUUUGGUAAAAAUCUGGUUUUAGAAUCUUGGGUAUCCUAGAGAGAGCUAUAACUGAGCACCAUAUUGAUAUUCAGGGGACUGGUGAAAACAGUUGCUAAUGUCAAGUUGCUCUUUUGCAGUCAGGUUCAGCUUCCGCCCAUCAGAAGAUUAACCACAAAAAUCAAUCUGUGGCUAUGUGUUACGUCAUGCUGCAAAAGAAGAAAAAAAUAUCCCAGUGAUCAUGUUAAUCAAUGCUCCAGAAAGGCAACAUUUACUAAUUAAGUCAUAGCUUAGGGCAUCUAAUUUUUAAGGGAACAUGUAGCAGAGGAAAGAAAAUUGCUUAGUUGAGAAGGUCAAAAACAAAAUGAUGGUAAACCCUCACGUUAGAAACUUAAAUUCUAUCAAUAAAUAUUAGUUGCUUACCUUUAUUUACAGGCAGACUUGACAACUAAACAACACUGCUCACUCAACUGACUGGUUUUAAUAAAUGGCUGCAGUUCUAACUAUUUAAAUGUCCAGCAGGUGACCGAAGCAUGGCCUAAUGGUAAAUAAUUGCUGUUUUUUAAUACCGUGUAAGGAGCCAGAGGUCAAAGAUAUCUUCCGUGCAUUCAUUAAGACUGUAACGGAGUGCCCGUCUCCCAGGUUAGUUUUGGUGAGGUUAACUUAAAUAUAUACAAAAACAAAACAAAAACCCUAACAAAAUAAACGAAAAAAGAAACAAAACAAAAAACAAAAAGAAAACCUACGCCCAUGAUUUACAGCAGGUCUGCACCUGAACUGAACCAACUUUGAACUCCAACAAUAUAUUCUCUUGAGGAGUUACUUCCCCUUUGGUUUGAAAGAGGAAACUCCUCCUACAGAUAAAAGAACGUUACCAACUGUAGAAACAUGGCGGUUCAACAUGGGAGGCAAUGUGCGGCAUCUGCAGUUACAAAGGUCAUUCUAAGGUAACAAAAACAUAAUGAUUCCUAUUCAGGUGAUUAUACACAAAUGAAAACAUGCCUAUGCACAUUAUAUUCCAUUUCUGCCAAUAGAUCCUCCUAAAUGUUACACACCUUUAAAUAACAGAAUCUGUCUUUAAUUCAACAAACAUUCACACAGCCCAGCUCCAGUCCAAGAAUUACAACAGUUGCAGGCAACUACACAACCUGUCUUCUUUUGGUGAUGGCUUGACCGUGCAAGACUAAUUUUUGCUUCAAUACCUGCCUCUUCUUAGUCUUUUCUCAAGGAAGUAAAAUCAAACUUCCAUUUGAGUAAAAUUCAAAUAGAGAAUAUGCCUAAAAGGAAUCUUUAUCCUUACUAAAGCACUGCAAAGUCCUCAUCCCAGAGAAAGUCUGUGCAUCAGAUGGUGAAGUCCGAACCUGAGUAUAAAGUCUGAAGACUCAGAACUAUGACCCAUAAAAUGUUGUAGGGAGAAUUAAGGCACAAAAAGCAGUUUCUCUGACACUUUUUUCCCCCCAGCAGAUUUAAAUUUUGGCUCAGUUUGGUCACAUGACUUAAUCUGGUAAUUUCAAACUUGACUUGAUAAAAUCAGAACUCUCAACUUUGACUUUUACACCAAUUACUUCUGACUUCAAUUCGACUUGUCACCAGGUGUGUAAAGGCUGCAAGAAAAGGACCCAAAUGUUGGCAUACAAGAACCGUUCAGUAACUUUGGUGGUGAUGGUAAGAUUAUGAUACAAAGACAAGUCCAAACAGAGACUGGAACCCAAUGGCAAGAAGCAACACUGAUGAUCUGGCCAGGAGCAGGUGGAGGUAUGAAUACUGUAGGGAGUAACUGGGGAAUGAGGAACAGGUGAGCAGGUGAAUGUAGGAGUCAGGUGACUGGGACUGGUGUGAAGGUCUGAGGGCAUCUAGUGGAUGGAGGGAGAAUGGCAAGUCUGGAGAGUUCCUUAGAAAUGCAUUGGCCAGAGGGAAGUGAGACGUUGCUGGACAGAGAACACUAAAUAAAAACAAGGACUUAAGCCUUUGGACUCGGAAUAGCUUGAUAUUCUCCCCAAGACCAAAGAUUGAAAAUUAUGUUACGAAAAAGUGAAUACAUACAUGAAAUGGAAAGUGAAAGUGAAUUAUUAAUUAGUUAACUUAAAUUUUAUUUCAAUUUUGGUUAGCAAUUGAUUUUUAUUUGAUAAUUAUAUUUACUAAAAGUAAAAUAGUAGUUCAUCACAAUAAUCACUGCCAGAUGAAAUUAGAUUAUUGUAAAAUGUUCUCUCAAACUCAAAGGAAUAAGGUGAAAAUGAUUCAUGGUUAAAAUGCCAUGUGUAAAAAGUUUAUAUAAACUACAUAUUCAAGUUAAAUACUGCAUGUGCUGUGGUGGAUCAUCUGUAAGCUGACAUUUUCAAAAUGAUCCAGAGAAAUCUCCUAGAACCUGGCAGAAGGAGAAAGCCCUGCUUUAUCUUUAGAGUUAAUUACAGCUGGGAACAGCUCUGCAGCUAAACGUGGUAUUCCCUUUUACACACACACACGGGGUGUCCCACCACAGGCUGUUUGCUACUAACCAUUAAGGCAUGUAAACAAGCCGAUUUGGGUGACACACAACCAGAAAUGAGAGCUUUCCCAGGAUGCACUCAGAGAUCUCUCCCGUGGUCUGACAGUGUGGCGGCGAUUGCGUGAGUUUGCAAAAUAACUCCCAGUUGUGAAAUGAUACACUCAGCAACAUGUAUAAUUACUGCCUGCAAAAUGUUUUAUAAUAAAUCAUAAUAGCCAAUGUGUGAGAUAAGUAACCAGCACAGAAGAUAUUUUUAAAAGUUGGUGAUCCCUACAGCAAAAAAAAAUGUAACUGCUGGUUUUACAAGUUUAUUUUUAUUUUUGUCAUGUGAUGUCAGCUGCCAAAAAGUGCUGAAAAAUGAAGAAACUACUAGUUUUAAGUUGACUCCAUGAUGUCUUUGUAACUGUGAAUUUGUGUUUGAAGAGGUUUUGAGUUGGGUCACUAAUUUAACUGAAAUUAAACGUUUAUUGUGAUUUUGUUGCCUAUUUUUGCAUUAACCAGUGGGGAUGCUCGUCCUCUGUGUACAUAUACUGAGGAAUUAAAUCAUUUCAUUUUUAAGCAACUUUGUUUACUUCUGCUGUGUCUCCCUGUAUCAUUCAUUAUUUCCUAUAUAAUAGACAGGUGUAGAGUCUUAUAAAGGUCAUUUUAUGCCUUGCAUUGUGGGAUUUUCAACCAAAGUGUUCAUGCACGUACACUACUAAUUUUUGAAGGCACUAUAUAGUGGCCAAAUUUACACACUCCGAAUUCAGACACUGAAAUAAAAGAGCUGUUUACACAUAUAAUGCUCUAUAUAUGUUGAUUAUAUUGUACACCACUCAGUCUCCUUUCCCCUGCUGGGGCUCAGCCUGUCAGCUGCUAUCAAUUAAACAUUAUAUAUUCAUUUCCCUAAACACUCUUUUUAAAGGUGUAUUGUGUAAGAUUGAGGAGGAGCAGAAAUGGAAUAAAAUGUAAUUAGCGUAUAAUCACGUGAAAAUAAUGUGUUUUCGUUACAUUGAAUGAGCCACUUUUAUCGUCAGAGGGAGUGGGUCCUCUUUUAUGGAGUCAGCCAUGUUUCUACAGUAGCCCAGAGUCAACACACCAUACACUGGAUAGGAGCUUUUGCGUCUUUGUGACUAUUGUGGCCACCGUAGUUUCCGUAGGCGAGUGCGUUGUAGUCUGCAACUACACUGCAAGAUUCCCCUAUGCCACUAAAUCCUACACACUGGACCUUUAAAUAUUAAGCAACAAUUUAUAAUUAAAAAAACAUUUAACUGACUACCGAAAGGGAGGACUGAUUGUGAUUUCAGUUUGACCUUCACGAACUCAUGUUCAUGUUAUUUGUAUUUAGGUGUUUCUUGAAGGACCAGUGUGUACGAUUAACUGCAAUGCAAUGAACACCACUCGCAUAUGUAUUUGACGACCUGGAAAUGAGAACAUGCUGUGAAGUGGUUUGGAGAAACUACAGUGGCCGCAAAAAAACAUGGCAGUUCAACAUGGCAGACGUGUAAUGUCAACUUUUGGUUUCACAUGGGACUCAAAUUGCAGUCCUGUGUUUGUUUGGCCCAUUUAUCCACUCUAUCCUCCUCUAUACUUGGACUUUGUUGCUUUUUAUACUGCACCUUAAUACAACUGUGUACUGUUCACAGCAAAGUGUCAUACUUACACGGUAUGCUCUAGUACUUUGGCAGGUUGAUUACACGCUUAUUUUGGAAAGCACUAAAAUAUCCAGGUGGUGAAAGUGACGUUUCAACUUCUAAUUUACUUGUCCAGAAAUAGAGCACUUUUAUUUAAACAAACAAUGAGAUGUUAACUAAAUCUGUGAUGGUGUUAAUAAGGUGAUUAUUCUGUAGCCUAACCAAUAACUGCUGAUUGAUUAACUGGCUAUAACUUGUUUGUGCAAAAUGUUCAGGUACAAUCUGUCUGCAUACUUAAACAGCGUUAUGUACAUGCAUGCAAACAACAUGCAGACACACCUACAAAUACAGACACAAAGGCAGUGACACACUUGUACACACAUACACGGCAGCAACACACGCGAGUCUCAGGGGAGAUUUCCAUAUGCUCGCACGGCUGAACCAUAAAAACUGCACUCACACUCACACCUUACAAACUAGUGAUGAAAGUGAUUCCUCCAAACGCUAAUCAAGACCAAAAUAACUUGCUUGAUCAUCUUCUAUCAAAGGCCACGGGACUCACCGACACGUGGACAGACUGACAGAAUAAAUGUAAGUUGACACCAACCCAGUUGUGUCAACAACAAGAAAAAAAAAACAGCACCAAAAAAGUAGACAGGUAGACAUAUGUGGGACAUGCCUAAUGACAGGGACUACAUUAAAAUUAGAAAUAAGAGUAAGACAGAAGGAGGGUGAAGACAGAAUAAAGAAAUUAAUUCAGUUAGAGUCAUAUGUGGUGAAGACUUAUUAGCUGACCUUGUUCAAAGAGGAUUUUCAAAUAAAUCUCUUGUGUUAGAUGGGGGUUUGAAUUAGACACCAUUACUGCUGCUGCUUCUAUUAUUUGUGAUUACAACCGUUACAUUACUGUAAGUAGUAGGUGUUUGUUAGGGAUGUAGAUACACACUGGAUGGAUGGAUCCCUCCUAUAUCACCUGAUACUGACAACAAUAUGUUUUCCAAUAGGUCCAACUGAAAUUACUCUUUGCUUUUUGCAGUCAAAGUUUUUAUGUGUUAUUGAUAAAAAAAGAUCCUUUAGUGUCUCUGAGGGGAUAGGAUGAUGGACGUGUUUGAUUGACAGCUGAGUCAGCAGGGGAACGAGACAGAACAUGAGCAUAUUUGAAAGGCAUGCCAAGAAGUGGUGAUUUUGAUGUGUGAAAAUACAUACUUGAUGGGAUAUUUUUUACCAUGUAUCUUUCACUUUAUUAAUCCCUUUUUCCUCCAACUAUGGAAUGACCAAUUCCUUACACACUAUAGUUCCUGCUCUUCAGUACUGAAUCCCUGUUGUUGUUGGUCUGGUGAAGGUGUAGGCAGCCAUCUGUUGAAUAUACAUGCAUAUGAAUAGAUUGUAGCAUCUUUAGCACAGUGACAAGUGCGUGGUCCCUGACAGUACAAUUUAUUAUGUCAGCCAGUACAAGUAGCAUGACAAUUCUGCUCCUGUUUCCACAAAUACUGUGAAUGUUCAACUGCUAUUAGAGUGGUACUAUACA